CCAAGACAGCUCUCUGGCUCCAUAAAGCUCUCUGAGGUUGAAGGUUGGUGCAUGCCAGACAAGGCGGAGCCCAGCAAACAACAGGGGUCUCCUUAGCAGUUUGGAACUUUCACAUAAAUGCCAGCUUGCAGGCGACUCUGACCUGUUCAACUGUGGCCCAGGCCCCUGCAGUAAGCCUCAGUUCAGCUUCAUCCAGCAAAUCCUGCCUCUGACAGAAUCUGACGCCUAUUUCCCCAGCCCAUCCUGGGUGGCAACCAUGAUUCUGAGUCAACAAGACCUGGCCCCUGACUGCCACGGAGAAGCUCAGACUUAAGAUGGACGGGGUAGGAAGAUAGUUGACCCCUAGAUCCCAAAAUGGAUAGUGAGCAGCUGAUGGAAAGAAAAGAGGCUAAGAUUAACACCAUUUGGAAAGCGGGUGCUUCAUUCAGCACCUACUGAGGAGCCACUGACAAUUCUUAAGCAGAAGACUAAGAUCAUCUUCCUGGUGCCACCUGCAGACCCAGAAGUCAAGCUGGUGGGAUUAGACCUCUCAGUCCAUGGGCUGGGAAGCUGCCAGCCAUGAGCACAGAGGCACGGCCAGUGAGUCCAUUUCUCUGCCUACUCGGAGCCCCCAGAACUUGACAGCAGGCACAAAACAACCUGGCUCUGCCCCAAGCCCAAACACAGGGGGGAAAGGACAGGUGGCGAAGCACUUACAAAAGCUGGAAAAGAAGGCAGAUUUUUUUUUCCCCCUACCAUGUAGGAGCUUUUAUUACUAGAAAAAUAAAAUCCUGUCUGAGCAAAUGCCAGGAAAACGAUUAAGGGCUCAAUUCAGAUCGGGAGGUUCGGCUGGGCACUGCUGAGCAGGGAGCUAAACAAUGUCAGCCCCUCUCUCAGUGCACAUCACGUUUGGGGUGAGUGGCCCAAGCCCCAGCCAGGCCUCUUGCCGCCAGUUUUGCAGAAUCACAGUUAAGCUUUGGUCACUUGGUUUCAGUUGAAAGAAUUGUGUGGAAGAAGGAAUAAAAGGUUCUUGCAUGCACACCAGCUCUUGCCUCCAAGGACUAAGAAGAAAUGCAGCGGGGACGGUGCCAGGCCCUACAGCAAUGCUUCUUCCUUAUGGUUCUCAGGCUCCCCAACCUGACCCAGGAAGGGCAUGAGAUGGUAGAGGAGCAGGGCUGGUUUGGGAGCCCCUUUAUACUGCCUGUGGCGACUUUAGGCAAGAUUUUAAUUUCUCUGAGUCUCAGUGUCUUCAUCUAUUAAGCGGAGAUAAUAAUGCACAGGGUUAUUAUGGGGAUAAAAUGACAUAAUAUAUGUAGAGUACCCAUAAAGUAGACAUUUAGUAUUUGGUAACUUCUUCCUAUUAUUAUUAUUAUUAUUGUUAUUAUUAUUAUUAUUAUUAUUAUUAUUAUUAUUAUUAUUAGUUAGGGCCUCCUAACCUCCUAAAUCAAAGAAUUGUGGCCAGAGGUAUAUGAUUAGAGAUUGAGAAACUAAUGUUUCAGUCCUAAUUCAGCUACUAACGAGCUGUGCAAUCUUAUGUGACUCACUCAGUCUUCCUGAGCUUCACUUUCCCCUCUUAAAAAUGAGGAUAUUGGGGUAAAUAAUCUCUAAGGGCCCCUUGUAACUCUGACUUUCAAUAUUAAUUAUAAUUACUCCUAUGAAGCCGUUGUUUAUGUGUCAGGAUGCCCAGCAAUGCACAUGUGUUACCUAUUCAAGUAUUACUCUCCUUCAUUAUUAUACUUCAUUUUACAAGUGAAGAAAAUAAAGUUUACAGAAGCUUAGAAA